rnacentral:rRNA from 1 species
AGCCUGAACGCUGGCGGCGUGGCUAAGACAUGCAAGUCGUACGGUGUAGCAAUACACAGUGGCGAACGGGAGAGUAAUGAAUCGCUAAUGUGCCCCGGACUCUGGGAUAGCUAGUUGAAAGAUUAGGUAAUACCAGAUGACAUAUCUUUAUCGCAUGAUAGAGAUCUCAAAGGUCCGCCGGUCUGGGAGCAGGCGAUUUCGUAUCAGCUAGUUGGUGAGGUAACGGCUCACCAAGGCGACGACGCGUAGCCGGACUGAGAGGUUGGCCGGCCACAUUGGGGACUGAGACACUGCCCAGACUCCUACGGGGGGCUGCAGUAACGAAUCUUCCGCAAUGCACGAAAGUGUGACGGAGCGACGCCGCGUGUGGGACGAAGCCCUUCGGGGUGUAAACCACUGUCAGGGGAUAGAAAGUUCUGAUCAUCCCAGAGGAAGGCACGGCUAACUCUGUGCCAGCAGCCGC